AUGAACGCUGGCGGCGUGCCUAAUACAUGCAAGUCGAACGAGUUCUGAUUAUUGAAAGAUGCUUGCAUCUUGAUUUAAUUUUGAACGAGUGGCGGACGGGUGAGUAACACGUGGGUAACCUGCCCUUAAGUGGGGGAUAACAUUUGGAAACAGAUGCUAAUACCGCAUAAAUCCAAGAACCGCAUGGUUCUUGGCUGAAAGAUGGCGUAAGCUAUCGCUUUUGGAUGGACCCGCGGCGUAUUAGCUAGUUGGUGAGGUAACGGCUCACCAAGGCAAUGAUACGUAGCCGAACUGAGAGGUUGAUCGGCCACAUUGGGACUGAGACACGGCCCAAACUCCUACGGGAGGCAGCAGUAGGGAAUCUUCCACAAUGGACGCAAGUCUGAUGGAGCAACGCCGCGUGAGUGAAGAAGGCUUUCGGGUCGUAAAACUCUGUUGUUGGAGAAGAAUGGUCGGCAGAGUAACUGUUGUCGGCGUGACGGUAUCCAACCAGAAAGCCACGGCUAACUACGUGCCAGCAGCCGCGGUAAUACGUAGGUGGCAAGCGUUAUCCGGAUUUAUUGGGCGUAAAGCGAGCGCAGGCGGUUUUUUAAGUCUGAUGUGAAAGCCCUCGGCUUAACCGAGGAAGUGCAUCGGAAACUGGGAAACUUGAGUGCAGAAGAGGACAGUGGAACUCCAUGUGUAGCGGUGAAAUGCGUAGAUAUAUGGAAGAACACCAGUGGCGAAGGCGGCUGUCUGGUCUGUAACUGACGCUGAGGCUCGAAAGCAUGGGUAGCGAACAGGAUUAGAUACCCUGGUAGUCCAUGCCGUAAACGAUGAAUGCUAGGUGUUGGAGGGUUUCCGCCCUUCAGUGCCGCAGCUAACGCAUUAAGCAUUCCGCCUGGGGAGUACGACCGCAAGGUUGAAACUCAAAGGAAUUGACGGGGGCCCGCACAAGCGGUGGAGCAUGUGGUUUAAUUCGAAGCAACGCGAAGAACCUUACCAGGUCUUGACAUCUUUUGAUCACCUGAGAGAUCAGGUUUCCCCUUCGGGGGCAAAAUGACAGGUGGUGCAUGGUUGUCGUCAGCUCGUGUCGUGAGAUGUUGGGUUAAGUCCCGCAACGAGCGCAACCCUUAUGACUAGUUGCCAGCAUUUAGUUGGGCACUCUAGUAAGACUGCCGGUGACAAACCGGAGGAAGGUGGGGAUGACGUCAAAUCAUCAUGCCCCUUAUGACCUGGGCUACACACGUGCUACAAUGGAUGGUACAACGAGUUGCGAGACCGCGAGGUCAAGCUAAUCUCUUAAAGCCAUUCUCAGUUCGGACUGUAGGCUGCAACUCGCCUACACGAAGUCGGAAUCGCUAGUAAUCGCGGAUCAGCACGCCGCGGUGAAUACGUUCCCGGGCCUUGUACACACCGCCCGUCACACCAUGAGAGUUUGUAACACCCGAAGCCGGUGGCGUAACCCUUUUAGGGAGCGAGCCGUCUAAGGUGGGACAAAUGAUUAGGGUG
rnacentral:rRNA from 1 species